GAGGUUCAAGAAACAGGCAAAGCCUUCUGAUAACAUUCUGGUUCCGGAUUCUGUCUGUCAACAUUUUCACCAAACUUUAGUUAUGAAGACUUCUUACUCCAUUUUUGCUGUUACGUUAUGGAUGCUCUUGAUGGUUCCAGGCUCUACUGGCUAUGUAACCGAUUAUUCUCAAUGUAAAAGUGCUAACGGCUUCUGUAGCUCACAUCCAUGUGAAUUGGAUUAUCGCAUUCUUGGAGAAUGUUCUCCUGACAAUCCUUGCUGUUCCAGCAAAUAUUUACGUGUCUAAGAAUGGAGUCUUGGAAGGAACCACUGUUCAGUUUGCCAAUUCUACAUUACUUGUGGAUGACUGCUAAUUCUUGUAUUUGGCUUCCAAAUAGAAGAAAGAAGAGAGACCUUGUAGCACCAGAUGAAGGAUUUUCCCAUUGUGAAAUUAUUAUACUGUCAAUAAACAAGUAAUAGUGUUGUGUAAA